rnacentral:tRNA from 1 species
GCUUGCGUGGCUCAGUGGUAGAGCACUCCCUUGGUAAGGGAGAGGUCAUGGGUUCGAUCCCCAUCGUAAGCUCCA